rnacentral:rRNA from 1 species
UACGUAGGGCGCAAGCGUUGUCCGGAAUUAUUGGGCGUAAAGAGCUCGUAGGCGGUUUGUCGCGUCUGCUGUGAAAACCUGAGGCUCAACCUCGGGCUUGCAGUGGGUACGGGCAGACUAGAGUGCGGUAGGGGUGACUGGAAUUCCUGGUGUAGCGGUGGAAUGCGCAGAUAUCAGGAGGAACACCGGUGGCGAAGGCGGGUCUCUGGGCCAUUACUGACACUGAGGAGCGAAAGCGUGGGGAGCGAACAGG